rnacentral:tRNA from 1 species
GCCAGGAUAUCCAAGUGGCUACGGAGAUGCAUUGGAAAUGCAUUGCCCUUGUGGCGCCGGGGUUCAAAUCCCCGUCCUGGCUCCA